GCCGAUUUAGCUCAGUUGGUAGAGCAACUGAUUCGUAAUCAGGAGGUCGUAGGUUCGAACCCUAUAAUCGGCACCA
rnacentral:tRNA from 1 species